rnacentral:rRNA from 1 species
UACGGGGGGGGCAAGCGUUGUUCGGAAUUACUGGGCGUAAAGCGCGCGUAGGCGGCUUUUCAAGUCGGGCGUGAAAGCCCCGGGCUUAACCCGGGAAUGGCGCUCGAUACUGUUGAGCUAGAGUGUGGAAGGGGCUACUGGAAUUCCGUGUGUAGCGGUGAAAUGCGCAGAUAUCAGGAGGAACACCGGUGGCGAAGGCGGGUCUCUGGGCCGAUACUGACGCUGAGGAGCGAAAGCGUGGGGAGCGAACAGG